rnacentral:rRNA from 1 species
GAUGAACGCUAGCGGCAGGCUUAAUACAUGCAAGUCGAGGGGCAGCAUGAUUGUAGCAAUACAAUUGAUGGCGACCGGCAAACGGGUGCGGAACACGUACACAACCUUCCAAUAAGUGGGGAAUAGCCCAGAGAAAUAUGGAUUAAUACACCGUAACAUAACGAUGUGGCAUCACAUUGUUAUCAUAGAUUUUUCGCUUAUUGAUGGGUGUGCGGCUGAUUAGAUAGUUGGCGGGGUAACGGCCCACCAAGUUUACGAUCAGUAGCUGAUGUGAGAGCAUGAUCAGCCACACGGGAACUGAGACACGGGCCCGACUCCUACGGGAGGCAGCAGUAAGUAAUAUUGGACAAUGGACGCAAGUCUGAUCCAGCCAUGCCGCGUGAAGGAUUAAGGUCCUCUGGAUUGUAAACUUCUUUUAUAAGGGACGAAAAAAGGCUUUUCUAAGUCGUCUGACGGUACCUUAUGAAUAAGCACCGGCUAACUCCGUGCCAGCCGCCGCCGUAAGAC